rnacentral:hammerhead_ribozyme from 1 species
AUCCAUCUUAAGAGUCCCAAAUAGGACGAAUCUCCCUUCCUGGAU